UACGUAGGGUGCGAGCGUUGUCCGGAAUUAUUGGGCGUAAAGAGCUCGUAGGCGGUUUGUCACGUCUGCUGUGAAAUCCCGAGGCUCAACCUCGGGCCUGCAGUGGGUACGGGGCAGACUGGAGUGCGGUAGGGGAGAAUGGAAUUCCUGGUGUAGCGGUGGAAUGCGCAGAUAUCAGGAGGAACACCGGUGGCGAAGGCGGAUCUCUGGGCCAUUACUGACGCUGAGGAGCGAAAGCGUGGGGAGCGAACAGG
rnacentral:rRNA from 1 species